UACGUAGGCAGCGAGCGUUGUUCGGAAUUACUGGGCGUAAAGAGUGUGUAGGCGGUGCUCUAAGUUCGGUGUGAAAUCUCCUGGCUCAACUGGGAGGGUGCGCCGGAAACUGGAGUGCUUGAGCGUGGGAGAGGAAAGCGGAAUUCCUGGUGUAGCGGUGAAGUGCGUAGAUAUCAGGAGGAACACCUGUGGUGUAGACGGCUUUCUGGACCAUAGCUGACGCUGAGACACGAAAGCGUGGGUAGCAAACGGG
rnacentral:rRNA from 1 species